rnacentral:rRNA from 1 species
GACGAACGCUGGCGGCGUGCCUAAUACAUGCAAGUAGAACGCUGAAGGAGGAGCUUGCUUCUCUGGAUGAGUUGCGAACGGGUGAGUAACGCGUAGGUAACCUGCCUGGUAGCGGGGGAUAACUAUUGGAAACGAUAGCUAAUACCGCAUAAUAGUAGAUGUUGCAUGACAUUUGCCUAAAAGGUGCAAUUGCAUCACUACCAGAUGGACCUGCGUUGUAUUAGCUAGUUGGUGGGGUAACGGCUCACCAAGGCGACGAUACAUAGCCGACCUGAGAGGGGGAGCGGCCAAACUGGGACUUGGACAAGGCCCAGGCUCCUACGGGGGGCAGCAGUAGGGAAUCUUCGGCAAUGGACGGAAGUCUGACCGAGCAACGCCGCGUGAGUGAAGAAGGUUUUCGGAUCGUAAAGCUCUGUUGUAAGAGAAGAAAGAGUGUGAGAGUGGAAAGUUCACACUGUGACGGUAGCUUAACAGAAAGGGACGGCUAACUACGUG